CAGCCGCCACGGUAAUACAGAGGGUGCGAGCGUUAAUCGGAUUUACUGGGCGUAAAGCGUGCGUAGGUGGUGGUUUAAGUCCGUUGUGAAAGCCCUGGGCUCAACCUGGGAAUUGCAGUGGAUACUGGGUCACUAGAGUGUGGUAGAGGAUAGUGGAAUUUCCGGUGUAGCAGUGAAAUGCGUAGAGAUCGGAAGGAACAUCUGUGGCGAAGGCGACUAUCUGGGCCAACACUGACACUGAGGCACGAAAGCGUGGGGAGCAAACAGGAUUAGAUACCCGUGUAGUCCCUGUCUCUUAUCC
rnacentral:rRNA from 1 species